UACGGAGGGGGCUAGCGUUGUUCGGAAUUACUGGGCGUAAAGCGCGCGUAGGCGGCUUUGUAAGUUAGAGGUGAAAGCCCGGAGCUCAACUCCGGAACUGCCUUUAAGACUGCAUCGCUAGAAUUGUGGAGAGGUGAGUGGAAUUCCGAGUGUAGAGGUGAAAUUCGUAGAUAUUCGCAAGAACACCAGUGGCGAAGGCGGCUCACUGGCCCGGUACUGACGCUGAGGUGCGAAAGCGUGGGGAGCAAACAGG
rnacentral:rRNA from 1 species